rnacentral:rRNA from 1 species
GACGAACCGUGCGAACGUUAUUCGGAAUCACUGGGCUUAAAGGGCGCGUAGGCGGGCCAUCAAGUCAGAGGUGAAAGCCCCCGGCUCAACCGGGGAAGUGCCUUUGAUACUGACGGCCUCGAGGGGGAUAGGGGCGUGCGGAACUUCCGGUGGAGCGGUGAAAUGCGUAGAUAUCGGAAGGAACACCGGUGGCGAAAGCGGCGCGCUGGAUCCCUUCUGACGCUGAGGCGCGAAAGCCAGGGGAGCGAACGGG